UAAGUGUGCUCCAAAAUGUACAAAGGAAGCAGGCCUGAAGUUUUCGACAGUUGGCGACAGUUCGGGCAAGGCCCAAGCGACCGCACCCAGGCCAAUUAAUCAAGGCUAGCAACAAUUUCGGGGGAAGUCUCGGGCAGGGCAGGCAGCUGCAAUUUGAACUUGAAUAACCUUGUAGCAUAAAAAAAAGGAAACGGCGGCGAGACAACAACAACAACAAAAGCAGCUGAAGCAACAAAGAGCAGGACGAGCAUGUGCAGAAGAACAAGGACGAGCUUGAGGAUGAGCACUGCGGAUGGAAACAGAACAGCAGAGAGGCAAAGCGAGCCAGGACAAGCAUCAAGUGACAUUUGAGCAAAGACAAAAAGUCAUUAUCAAGGCGACAGACGAAGAGCAGCAGCAGCAGCAGCAGCAGACGUCUUGGGCUGAUUCUAAAACUUGCUGGACUUCUCUCAUUGUAAAGGAUGCGCAACAUAUAAGGAUGAGACAUAAAGCAGAAACAAAAAACACAAUAAAAGAUGGUUAAAUUUCAAGGCAA